rnacentral:rRNA from 1 species
UACGUAGGCAGCGAGCGUUGUUCGGAAUUACUGGGCGUAAAGCGCGUGUAGGCGGCCCUGCAAGUCGGAUGUGAAAUCCCACGGCUCAACCGUGGAAGUGCAUUCGAAACUGCAGGGCUAGAGUCCUGGAGAGGAAGGUGGAAUGCUUGGUGUAGAGGUGAAAUUCGUAGAUAUCAAGCGGAACACCGGUGGCGAAGGCGGCCUUCUGGACAGUGACUGACGCUGAGACGCGAAAGCGUGGGGAGCAAACAGG